rnacentral:misc_RNA from 1 species
GAAAUGCGAUAAGUAAUGUGAAUUGCAGAAUUCAGUGAAUCAUCGAAUCUUUGAACGCACCUUGCGCUCCUUGGUAUUCCGAGGAGCAUGCCUGUUUGAGUGUCAUUAAAUCAUCAACUAUUCUUUCAUUUAUUUGUAAAGAGUAGCUUGGACUUGGGAGUCUUCUGUGGGCCUUUGGUCUGCUCUCCUUAAAUGCCUUAGCUGGAAUGUACCCCUGCAGUCCAACUGUUAGUGUGAUAAUUAUCUACGCUACACAGGGACAGCCUUUUGAGUGGGACUCUGGCUCUCUAACCGUUGUCAUCUGACAACAACUCCUGAUCAUUUUGACCUCAAAUCAGGUAGGACUACCCGCUGAACUUAA